rnacentral:pre_miRNA from 1 species
UUUGGCAAUGGUAGAACUCACACUGGUGCGCUCGCAGGAUCCGGUGGUUCUAGACUUGCCAACUA